rnacentral:lncRNA from 1 species
CAAAAUCAUGUAGGAUUGAGAUGAGCAUAACAUUUCAAUCCCAUGCUUUUUCUGUUCCUGCGAUUUUAGAAUCCUACGCAUCAAAGAGCACCUUACUUCAUCCUCAAGGUAGCUCGUUUUCUUGUCCGGGCAAAUUGGGGAAAAACUGGCAACCAGCUCCAAGCCUCCGACAGAUCGCCAUUUCCUUUCGCUUACACCACCACACAUCAGGGUGAGUUUCCACACGCAGACUUACAAAUCGAUAGGAAAAGGAAAAAAAAACUAGUACAGUUUCAGAAACACUAAAAUUAUUCGCUCCAACGCAAUCAGCAAAGUGCAGAUUGAUAGGAAACAUGAUGAUCAUCAUUCAUGGGCCGGGACACUGGCAAGUCUUGACGCAAUCGUCUCUGUGCUUGUAGCACGGGCCACCCCAGCAAGGACCAUCGCAGCACCACUUGAAUGCAUUUGGCGGAAAUAUGGCGUAGCGACAACGAUAGCUCACAUCCGUUAUGUUGAUCCCCAUCUUGUCGAUGCUCUGUCCUAAGAGAAAGAAAAUUGAAGUAGUUACAAUAUAUUCUCCCAAUAACAAGAUAAGUAGAUUUAUUCUGUAUAUGAAGUCAUAAAGUCUACAUGGAAAACCACUCUGGAUCUGAUCUUUCCAUGGGGUUGAUGAAGCAACUUUGAACAUACCGAUGACCACUCGAAAUAACAGACUUUAAUUGUUAAUUUUAC